UACGGGGGGGGCAAGCGUUGUUCGGAAUUACUGGGCGUAAAGAGCUCGUAGGUGGCUUGUUGCGUCUGCCGUGAAAGCCCGUGGCUUAACUACGGGUCUGCGGUGGAUACGGGCAGGCUAGAGGCUGGUAGGGGCAAGCGGAAUUCCUGGUGUAGCGGUGAAAUGCGCGGAUAUCAGGAGGAACACCGGUGGCGAAGGCGGCUUGCUGGGCCAGUUCUGACGCUGAGGCGCGAAAGCCAGGGGAGCGAACAGG
rnacentral:rRNA from 1 species